UGGGGAAUAUUGCACAAUGGGCGAAAGCCUGAUGCAGCAACGCCGCGUGAGCGAUGAAGGCCUUCGGGUCGUAAAGCUCUGUCCUAUGGGAAGAUAAUGACGGUACCAUAGGAGGAAGCCCCGGCUAACUACGUGCCAGCAGCCGCGGUAAUACGUAGGGGGCAAGCGUUAUCCGGAAUUACUGGGCGUAAAGGGUGCGUAGGCGGUUUAUCAAGUCAGGGGUGAAAGGCUACGGCUCAACCGUAGUAAGCCUCUGAAACUGGUGAACUUGAGUGUAGGAGAGGAAAGUGGAAUUCCCAGUGUAGCGGUGAAAUGCGUAGAUAUUGGGAGGAACACCAGUGGCGAAGGCGACUUUCUGGACUAUAACUGACGCUGAGGCACGAAAGCGUGGGGAGCAAACAGG
rnacentral:rRNA from 1 species